AGUGAACGCUGGCGGUAGGCCUAACACAUGCAAGUCGAACGGCAGCACAGUAAGAGCUUGCCCUUACGGGUGGCGAGUGGCGGACGGGUGAGGAAUACAUCGGAAUCUACUUUUUCGUGGGGGAUAACGUAGGGAAACUUACGCUAAUACCGCAUACGACCUACGGGUGAAAGCAGGGGAUCUUCGGACCUUGCGCGAUUGAAUGAGCCGAUGUCGGAUUAGCUAGUUGGCGGGGUAAAGGCCCACCUAGGCGACGAUCCGUAGCUGGUCUGAGAGGAUGAUCAGCCACACUGGAACUGAGACACGGUCCAGACUCCUACGGGAGGCAGCAGUGGGGAAUAUUGGACAAUGGGCGAAAGCCUGAUCCAGCCAUACCGCGUGGGUGAAGAAGGCCUUCGGGUUGUAAAGCCCUUUUGUUGGGAAAGAAAAGCAGCAGGUUAAUACCCCGCUGUUCUGACGGUACCCAAAGAAUAAGCACCGGCUAACUUCGUG
rnacentral:rRNA from 1 species